rnacentral:rRNA from 1 species
CCCAUGGCCACGUUCGUCGGCCUGGGGUUGGCCGGGACCGAAGGUGAGGCCGUAGGGCGUAAUCGAUGGAGAUCAGGUUAAUAUUCCUGAGCCGGCAGGCAAUUAGUGUGUGAGUGCGCGGAAGAAGAGGAUGCAAACAUUAUGCUAUGGAAGAGGAUUAGGCCACGUGCCGAAGCCCGCAUCUAAAUUGACCGCCUAGAAAAGCUCAUGCUCGUUCUAUGCCUGUCGCCCGUACCAUAAACCGCCACAGGUAGGAGGGUGUAAAUGUACUAAGGCGCGCGAGAGAAACCUCUCUAAGGAACUCUGCAAUCUAGCCCCGUAACUUCGGAAGAAGGGGUGCCCACUUCGGUGGGCCUCAGUAAAGGGGGUCUGGCGACUGUUUACCAAAAACACAGCUCUCUGCUAAGUCGUGAAGACGACGUAUAGGGAGUGACACGUGACCAAUGCGGAAAGAUUAAGGCUGUUCUGUGCAAGCAGGGCACCAAAGUCCCCGUGAAUGUCGGCCGUAACUAUAACGGUCCUAAGGUAGCGAAAUUCCUUGUCGGGUAAGUUCCGACCUGCACGAAUCGUGUAACGACCGGACUGCUGUCUCAGAGAGGAUCUCGACGAAGUUGUAAUGGCGGUGAAGAUGCCGCCUACCCGCGGUAGGACGGAAAGACCCUAUGCACCUUUACUGUAAGCUGGUAUUGGGUUCUGGACUUUGAUGAGUAGCUUAGGUGGGAGACUUUGAAACGUGUUCGUCAGGAUACGUUGAGUCACAAGGUGAAAUACCACCCUUUAAUUUCUAGGAUUCUAACCUCGAUUCCUGUCAGCCAGGCGAGGGACAGUGCUUGCGGGUCAGUUUGACUGGGGCGGUUUCCUCCCAAAGAGUAACGGAGGAGCACUAAGGUACCUUCAGCAUGGUUAGCAACCAUGCGUCGAGCGUAUGCGUAGAAGGGUGCUUGACUGUGAGACCUACAAGUCGAGCAGGUACGAAAGUAGGUGCAAAUGAUCCGGUGGUAGAAAGUGGAAUUGCCAUCGCUCAACGGACAAAAGGUACGCCAGGGAUAACAGGCUGAUCGCGCCCAAGAGUUCAUAUCGACGGCGCGGUUUGGCACCUCGAUGUCGGCUCGUCGCAUCCUGGGGCUGAAGAAGGUCCCAAGGGUUCGGCUGUUCGCCGAUUAAAGUGGCACGCGAGCUGGGUUCAGAACGUCGUGAGACAGUUCGGUCCUUAUCCACUGUGGGCGCAGGAAACUUGAGGGGUUCAAUCCCCAGUACGAGAGGACCGGGAUUGACGUACCUAUGGUGUGGCAGUUGUUCCAUCAGGGGCAGCGCUGCGUAGCCAAGUACGGAAGAGAUAAGCGCUGAAAGCAUCUAAGUGCCAAGCUCAUUCCAAGAUGAAGUUUCCCACUCCUCGUGAGUGUAAGACCCCCGGAAGACUACCGGGUUGAUAGGCCAGAAGUGUAAGUGUGGCAACACAUUCAGCUGACUGGUACUAAUCGGUCGAGGGCUUGAUUA